rnacentral:rRNA from 1 species
UACGUAGGGGGGCAAGCGUUGUCCGGAAUUAUUGGGCGUAAAGAGCGCGUAGGCGGUCCGGUAAGUCAGCUGUGAAAGUCAAGGGCUCAACCCUUGAAAGCCGGUUGAUACUGUCGGGCUAGAGUCCGGAAGAGGCGAGUGGAAUUCCCGGUGUAGCGGUGAAAUGCGCAGAUAUCAGGAGGAACACCGGUGGCGAAGGCGGUUCUCUGGGCAUGAUCUGACGCUGAGGAGCGAAAGUGUGGGGAGCGAACAGG